AUUGAACGCUGGCGGCAGGCUUAACACAUGCAAGUCGAGCGAGCGGCGGACGGGUGAGUAAUGUCUGGGAAACUGCCUGAUGGAGGGGGAUAACUACUGGAAACGGUAGCUAAUACCGCAUACCAUCAGCUUUCCCCAGAUGGGAUUAGCUAGUGGGUGGGGUAAUGGCUCACCUAGGCGACGUUCCCUAGCUGGUCUGAGAGGAUGACCAGCAAAAUUGGAACUGAGACAGGGCCCAGACCCCUACGGGAGGAAGCAGUGGGGAAUAUUGCAAAAGGGGGGCAAGCCUGCUGAAGCAAUGCCGGUUGUGUGAAGAAGGCCUUCGGGUUGUAAAGCACUUUCAGCGAGGAGGCGUUACUCGCAGAAGAAGCACCGGCUAACUCCGUGCCAGCAGCCGCGGUAAUAC
rnacentral:rRNA from 1 species